AAGGAUUCCCUAUAUAAGGACGAGAAAGACGGACAACGAGGCUCCUUCUUACGACCUCAAAGGUGCUCUGGGAAACUAUGCUCGGAAAACAAACUGCCGCCUUUCGUUUUUGGACCGGGUGGAACUUUCGCUAACUUUGAAUACCCGCUGGGACGAACAUUUGCUUGUUUGGGAACGCUUGUUCAACAUUGGCCCAGCAACACGUAUCCAUCACCCAGCAGGAAGCGCACGUACGCAGAUUGUCACAUUGCAUCCAAAGAGAAGCCCACUGCCCAAUAAUAACCUGCAGCAAUAACAGCCAGCUUCUCCCCUCCAAUGGAGAUGGAUGGCGAGCACUUGCAUCCGAUUUGUGUCUGAGUUGCAGGAAAGCUGGAGCCUAUCCCAGGCUAGCUUCGGGCGAAAGGCGGACUACACCCUGAAUUGGUCGGCAGUCAGUCGCAGGGUAGAUAUCGACACCAUCACUGACCGGGAAUCGAUCCCACGCUACCAGCACCAAAGAUAGAGAUGUGUGAAUCAGAUGGCCUGCGGUGAACUGGGAUUCACUGUAGGGGGUUGCACACACGAGCCAACUAGUCGAUUUGUUGAGGAGGCACAACGAGACCCCUGAAUAAAAGAAGUCCACCACCUUAAUUGAUUUUUAAAUUGUCUUUUCUUUCUGCAUGCACAGAUUUGGUAUGUGAGGAGGUACCGGUAAAUGGGGAAAACAAAGCCCAAGCUUGAGUAAGAUUUUGGAACAACGUAUGGGCCAGAAAGGAGAGCGGGGAAUUGGGCAACCUUUCACCAAAUGCCAGUGGUCCACCAUGCAGAACCCGCCGGUGUGGUGAGCUCAUAACAGGGACCGAUUUCCCCAUUUGGACAAGUUGUGUAAAUGUUAGCUGGCUGUCCCUGU